GGCUGGUCCGAUGCUGGUGGGUUAUCAGAACUUACUAACAUUAGUGUCACUAAAGUUGGUAUACAACCCCCCACUGCUAAAUUUGACUGGCUUAAA
rnacentral:Y_RNA from 1 species